rnacentral:rRNA from 1 species
AUUGAACGCUGGCGGCAUGCUUUACACAUGCAAGUCGAACGGCAGCGCGGACUUCGGUCUGGCGGCGAGUGGCGAACGGGUGAGUAAUAUAUCGGAACGUACCCAGGGGUGGGGGAUAACGUAGCGAAAGUUACGCUAAUACCGCAUACGCUCUACGGAGGAAAGCAGGGGAUCGCAAGACCUUGCGCGCUUGGAGCGGCCGAUAUCUGAUUAGCUAGUUGGUGGGGUAAAGGCUCACAAAGGCAACGAUCAGUAGCUGGUCUGAGAGGACGACCAGCCACACUGGGACUGAGACACGGCCCAGACUCCUACGGGAGGCAGCAGUGGGGAAUUUUGGACAAUGGGGGCAACCCUGAUCCAGCAAUGCCGCGUGAGUGAAGAAGGCCUUCGGGUUGUAAAGCUCUUUUGUCAGGGAAGAAACGGUUUUGGCUAAUAUCCAGAGCUAAUGACGGUACCUGAAGAAUAAGCACCGGCUAACUACGUGCCAGCCGCCGCCGUAAGAC